AGAAUACUGAACAGUAUCAGAUGUGCGCUGAAGCUGAUUUGUGCCUUGUCGCUGGUUUUCUUCUCAUUGUUCCCCUCUGCUUACAGCACGCAGGUUGUUGUACCUGGAACGUGGUACAAGAAGAAGGAGGUGCGGUCGAGACUCCAGCGGUUAGAGCUGCUGCCUUGGGAGUAGAAGGUUGCCGGUUCGCAUCUCAUAUGCGGGUGGUCCCUGAUUUACGAUGGGGUUACGUUCCGCAAAACCCAUCGAGCUCCGGACAUGUGGGAGGUGUAAGGCCCGGAGAGAUAGAGGAGCAACCCAGCUUCCACUGGUGGGGAAAUAUGGUUUAAUACGUCUCACCGAAAGCCCUUUUGGACCGAAAGUGUCCUCCUCACCAACUACCAGCUUCAUCUCUAUCUUCGUCUGCAAGCAGACCACACCUGCUGUCCAGCCACGUCCCACGAGGGACCCCGUUCCUCUGCUGAUGACCCUCCAGCCCAGGCCGCUUCCUCCAGCUGACUCCGGCCGAUGUGAGCUUUCUCUCAAGUGCCAGGAAUGCGUCGAUGGAGAACACGGCAAAACGCAGUGGGACAUCAACAGACUAUCAAUCGCAGCUCAUCAUCAACACAAACGGCACAAAUGGCCACCUGUCGACAGCCAUUGACCAGAAUGCUGGCAGGUCCAUUCAAGACAUUAAGUCAAGGGCACCUUUUUGAGUGAGAAAACUGGAAGUUCUGCAUGGCCAGACUGUGCAAAAUGUUUGCCAUCCCGACACUUAUAAAAGCUCGAAAUGCUGCUGCAUGGCUGCUGCAUGGCUGCUGCAUGGCUACUGCAUACUUCUGGAAGGGCGGAGCAAUGGGAACUGAUUUACGGGUUCUGGAACAGGGACAGGAGGGUUUCGGAGUUCGUUUCUCCAGUACCUUCUUUCGGCAAUAUGUUCAAGUGAAUCACUGCAAGGCCUACAAGAGGGACAGGAGAUCCCCGUCCGGCCCCGAUUGUCUGUCUCCGUGAGAUCCCGCCCUAGGAUGACAGAUGCCCGAGGCUCCGCUGCUCCCGGAACUUCACCGGUGAAUCACCUCGCCUUCCACUCCCAGAUUAAGCAGUGGCAUCAUUCUCAUAACAUCUCGCUGCGUGGGAGGGGAGCGGAGUCAGCGCAGCCCGAGAUUGGGAUUUGCAGAGAUUUUCGGAUCCUUGGCGCUCAGCCUUUCACGCCCUGGCGCAGGUGUUCCUUUCUCUUUUCCCGCUAAGGUUCACCUGGUCCUCUUCACAGGGCCGCCUGGUGCCGGAACCGUUCUUUCAAAUGUCGAGAAUCCAGCGCGCAGUUGUUUUGAGUUUGGGCCCCAGCUCAGCCCCAUUAUCGCCGAAGGCAUUGCAUCCAGUUUUCGUGUCUCCAGCUCUUGUCUGAUUGACCUUUCAGGAUAAAAAAUGUCUUGCGAAAGAAGGGAUUAAUUCGGGAUUUAGAGGACUCUGUUUAAUACACAUCUCAGACAAGUUAAUUAGCUUUCCUGGGCAACCUGUUACUAAUUUAGGUUAACUCUCCAAGGAGCAGAACAAAUCCAGACCAGUUUGGACUUUCGCUCGUCGGAUUCACGACACGCUCUUACGCAAGUUCGCUUCUCACGGCUAUUUCUUCACGAGCCCCCAGCCUUCGCGUCUAUCGCAUC
rnacentral:lncRNA from 1 species